rnacentral:rRNA from 1 species
UGGGAGGAGAACAACAGCUGGAAACGGCUGCUAAUACCCCAUAGGCUGAGGAGCAAAAGGAGGAAUCCGCCCAAGGAGGGGCUCGCGUCUGAUUAGUUAGUUGGUGAGGCAAUGGCUUACCAAGGCGACGAUCAGUAGCUGGUCCGAGAGGAUGAUCAGCCACACUGGGACUGAGACACGGCCCAGACUCCUACGGGAGGCAGCAGUGG